rnacentral:lncRNA from 1 species
AAAAAGCCUGUCCAGCAAGCCAUGGAGAACAAUCCAGUAAAGAGCGCUCCUCCAUGGUAUGCUUCAGUUCCUGCCGCUAUCAAGUUCCUGUCCUGACUUCCCUUUGCGGUGGACUGUAAGCUGUAAGAUAAAAUAACCCCUUUCCUACCAAGCUGCCUUUGGUUGUGGUUUAUCACGGCAAUGGAAAGUAAUAGAUAAAACAUGCCUGCCUGUGCAGCUGGCACCAUCGAUUGCAGUAGACUUGUAUAUUUAGAAGUUAAGACAUGAAGACGCCAGGCAGUGGUGGUGCACACCUUUAAUCCCAGCACUUGGGAAGCAGAGACAGGCAGAUUUCUGAGUUUGAGGCCAGCCUGGUCUACAGAGUGAGUUCCAGGAUAGCCAGGGCUAUACAGAGAAACCGUGUCUCAGGGAAAAACAACAACAACAACAAAAAAAAACAGAAAAAACAAACAAACAAACAAAACCAAAGACAUGAAGACUUCUGGCUUCUUUUACAGAAUUGUUUUUUAAAAUUUCAUAGAAAUUUUAGCUACAUUUUUCUACUUUAAAAAAAAAGAAGAAGAAGAAAUUGGUAAGAUUUAAGUAGCAGCUUAGUAUGAAGGUAAAUGCCUUUAAUCCCAGGACAUGGGAGGCAGCAGCAGACAGAUCUCUAUGAGUUCCAGGCCAGCCAGAGUUACAUAGUGAGACAGCAAUUACAUUGAUUUUGUCUGCUUUGCCUUUUGCCAUGUUGGUAAUGGAACCCAGGGCCUCACAAACACCACAGAGCAAUGAUGAGUCUUGUUAUUGGUUUUUUGCUUUCGGGGGUUGGGGUGGUUCUAGAAUAAGAUAAAAGCCAAGGCCUUACCCCCAGGAGGCAAGGGCUGUAAUGCUAAGACACCCUCAGCACAGGGCCAAGUCCAUAGCUAGCCUUCAGUAGCUCUGACAUCUUGAUCUUCUGUUAUCUCUACCUUCCCUAAAUGCAGUGUAUUUUUCCAUUCUAAUUUCUGUGUUGUAUUACUGUAGUGCUGUAUGUGUAAACACAGGAGCAUACAUGUGGAGAUUAGAGGACAACUUUCAAAAGUCUGUCCUCAGGCUGAGUGUCGCCUACUCUGGAGGCCUGAAGAUAAGAGUUUAAUGCCCAAAUCCCAGGUGAAGGCAGAGAGAGAAAACAUGCUACGGAGUUACCCUCUGACCUCCAGUUUUGGCACUGUGGCACACACACACCCCCCAUCACGCAUACACACAUCAAGAAUCCUCUUUUUUUUUUAAAGUUGGUUCUCUUAUGUUGUAAACUGUAGGGAUUAAAUUUGGGCCGCCAUGCUUUCGUGGCUCUUACCUGCUGCACCAGAUUCUUGGCCCCACUCUGACUUCUCUCAUCAAUUUUUAUAGUUUCCUAUAUAUGUUCUCUCACCUCCUUGAUUAAGCUUAUUACAAAAAAGUUCUUUAUUCUCUUUGAUGCCUCUGCCCGCCUCUAGAGGCGUGUUUCCCUGCCCCACCCACUUGCUGUCCUGGCAGCAGUUAGGAGGCACAGACAACAGAGGAACGAGCUGGAGCUCAGAGGUGAGCCUUGAUUAGAUGAGCAAGGCCCUGGGGCUGACCGUAGCACUGAGGAAAACCUAAAGAUGAGGGUGAAGGGAGUGGGGAGGAGAAGCGGAGCAGCUCAGUGGUAGAGAGCUUUACCGAGAAGGCAGGAGGCCCUGGUUCUAAUCCCCAGAACUGUAUGAGAAAAAUAUUUUAGCCUGGGGAGGGGCUGGGGCUACGCUACGGCUCAGUGGUACGGUGCUUGCCUAGAGCGUACAAGUCCCCAGGUUCAAUUCCCAAUAUUGC